AUGGAAACCAGUUUCUUCCCAUCUCUUAUCGCCCGGCAGCCAUGUGAGGAAAUGAGUUAUAAAGUCCAGAGGCCGCUUCCUACUGCGCCGGGAGCACCCGCCACCGCUGCCGGGGAUGCGCUGCCCAGCCCUGCGUGGUGGGGUGCACGUGGGGCGCCCCGGUCCCUCUGCCCGGGCUCCCUUUGGCCAAAUCCCGCUCCGAUGGCCCUGGGUGAGAAUGCCGGCUGGCCCCAGCCCUCCCCUCACCAGCGUGGGGCUGAGCGUUGGGGGUCUCGGCGUCAGCCCGUACCCCGGUGCGGGGCUGGAAGUGCCGGGAGCUCCCUUGGGGCUCCAGGAUCCCUCUCAGGUUUGGGGGUGUCCCCGUGCCAGCGCUCCCCGAGCUGCUGUAAUGCCCACCCGCAUCCCACCGCAUCCCGGUUGCCCCCUGCAGCGGGAAAGGGCGCCGUCCCCGGGGGGUACCCCAGAUCCGCCGGGUCGAGGGGCCACGGGCAGCCUCGCCGGCCGGCUUCCCCCCCGCCCCAACCCCGCUCGGAGCGUCCUGUUCCCGGCAGCGCCCCGUGGGCCGCGGGCGCGAAGGCACAGAUGCCGCCGCGUCGGCUGCCAAGGCGCUGCCAUCUGUGUGCGCCGGGCUGCCAGGCUGGGGCGGGGGGGGCACUGCUCCCCCUAACCACCCCACCUCGGCCUCAGGGCACUGCAGGGCUGGGUGUCCCCCAAAAUGGCAUCCUCAGGGCUCUCGGGGGGGGGCUUGGGGAGGGGUCCGGGACCCCACGGAGAGGAAGGAAGCACGGGAGGCCCGGUCGCCCACCCGCCUGCCUUUCUCUGUGGGGUCGUGGGGCUACCGUCAACCCCUCGGGGCUAUCGUGGCUGGCUAGUGCUGCCACCCCCCUAAACCCUGUCCCCCCCAGGCUGGGGGGGGUUCCCCCCUCCCCUGGGGCCGUGCUGUGUUUGUGUAGGCCCUACAGAAACAAGGGGUGGUGUGGCUGGGCAGAGGCUGGCCGGACUCCCCCGAGGGACCACCCAGGGCCGGUUCGGCGUUGUCACCCCGCGCCUGGGCCGCGUGUCACGGGAGGGGGCUGUGACCCAGCGGGGGGGAUCCCCAAAUCCUGCCUUCGGUGCUGCCGCCGGCAUCUGCGGUCCCACAGCCACCCCGUAGGGCCGCACCCCAACCCAGGCCAACCCCAGGACCCUUUAUUUUUGGGGUGCGGGUGUGGGGAGGUGCCGCCCGGCCGGGAGCGGAGCCUCAGCGGGUGCCGGGGCUGGUGCCAGCGCGGGGCCGGCGCGGCCGCUCAAACGGUCCUUUGUUCCCGACGGGGACACAAAGGGCUCCAGUCCGGCCUGACCGGGGCCAGCAGCCAGGGCUGGGGGGGCUAUGGCGGUAUGAGGGGGGGGCUACGGGAGCUGGGGUGCCCUGCAGGGCUGGCCUGCGAUGGGGUGCCGAGGCUGCAGAGCCGGUGA
rnacentral:lncRNA from 1 species